rnacentral:rRNA from 1 species
GUCCUUUUGAUUUUUAUUUAAGGUCUGACCUGCCCACUGAUUUAUUUAAUGGCCGCGGUAUUCUGACCGUGCAAAGGUAGCAUAAUAAUUUGUCUUUUAAUUGAAGGCUUGUAUGAAUGGUUGGACGAGAAAGCUUCUUUCUUUAUAGUAUAUUUAUGAAUUUUAUUUUUUAGUUAAAAAGCUGAAAUGUUAUUGUAGGACGAGAAGACCCUAUAGAACUUUAUAAUUUUUGUUAUAUUAAUAUUUUUGGUUAAUAAAUAUAUUAUUUAAUGUAAAUUAUUUUGUUGGGGCGACAAGAAAAUUUAUUUAACUUUUUUUAAUUAAUUUCACUAAUUGGUGUAUAAAUGAUCCUUUAUUAUGGAUAAUAAGAAUAAGUUACCUUAGGGAUAACAGCGUAAUUUUUUUGGAGAGUUCUUAUCGAUAAAGAAGUUUGCGA